AUACUUACCUGGACGGGGUCUAUGAGCGAUCAAGAAGGCUCAUGGCCUGGAGUGAUGGCUUCCAUUGCACUUCGGAAGGGCAUCCCUCCAAGAUCUCCCCAAGUGGGAGAGUCUACGUCAUAAUUUGUGAUAGUGGGGGCCUGCGUUCGCGCGGCCCCUGU
rfam:Beta vulgaris subsp. vulgaris Bvchr9.sca025.con0122.1, whole genome shotgun sequence.